rnacentral:rRNA from 1 species
CCAGCAGCCGCGGUAAUUCCAGCUCCAAUAGCGUAUACUAACGUUGUUGCAGUUAAAAAGCUCGUAGUUGGAUUUGUGGCGGUCCCUGUGGUCCGAUUUCGGUACUCUCGGGGAUUGCCAUCCUUGGGUGGAUCCUGUGUGGCAUUAGGUUGUCGUGCAGGGGAUGCCCAUCGUUUACUGUGAAAAAAUUAGAGUGUUCAAAGCAGGCUUACGCCGUUGAAUAUAUUAGCAUGGAAUAAUGAGAUAGGACCUUGGUACUAUUUUGUUGGUUUGCGCACCGAGGUAAUGAUUAAUAGGGACAGUUGUGGGUAUUCGUAUUCCAUUGUCAGAGGUGAAAUUCUUGGAUUUCUGGAAGACGAACGAAUGCGAA